rnacentral:misc_RNA from 1 species
AACGCAGCAAAGCGCGAUAGGUAGUGUGAAUUGCAGAAUUCCGUGAAUCAUCGAAUUUUUGAACGCAUAUUGCGCCCUAGAUCUCGGUCUUGGGCAUGUCUGCCUCAGCGUCGUUUUCAAUGGUUUACCGACAAUGUCUCUUGCCUGUCAUUAGGUGAGCAUGAGCUAAAACCUUGUACUCUUCGUGCUCAGCACGACGUGCAACAGUGGUCUUCCUCAACACUGUUCAUCGUGAGCAAGCUGCUUUUAUAGCAACCGCUAUUAUCGUGGACAGAUGGAUGAGGCUGAAAAAGGCCAGCUGUUACAACCAUUCGACCUGAGUUCAGGCAGGGCUACCCGCUGAACUUAAGCAUAUCAAUAAGCG